UACGUAGGGUGCAAGCGUUAAUCGGAAUUACUGGGCGUAAAGCGCACGUAGGCGGCUUUGUAAGUCAGAGGUGAAAUCCCGGGGCUCAACUCCGGAACUGCCUUUGAGACUGCAUCGCUUGAAUCCAGGAGAGGUGAGUGGAAUUCCGAGUGUAGAGGUGAAAUUCGUAGAUAUUCGGAAGAACACCAGUGGCGAAGGCGGCUCACUGGACUGGUAUUGACGCUGAGGUGCGAAAGCGUGGGGAGCAAACAGG
rnacentral:rRNA from 1 species